GACGAACGCUGGCGGCGUGCUUAACACAUGCAAGUCGAACGGAAAGGCCCCUUUUGGGGUCCUCGAGUGGCGAACGGGGGAGUAACACGUGAGUAACCUGCCCUUGACUUCGGGAUAACCUCAGGAAACUGGGGCCAAUACCGGCUAGGAAUCCUUGCUGCAUGGUGGGGGGUGGGAAGCUUCGGCGGUUUUGGAUGGACUCGCGGCUUAUCAGCUUGUUGGUGGGGUAGUGGCUUACCAAGGCUUUGACGGGUAGCCGGCCUGAGAGGGCGACCGGCCACAUUGGGACUGAGAUACGGCCCAGACUCCUACGGGAGGCAGCAGUGGGGAAUAUUGCACAAUGGGCGGAAGCCGGAUGCAGCAACGCCGCGUGCGGGAUGACGGCCUUCGGGUUGUAAACCGCUUUCAGCAGGGGCGAAGCUUGUGGUGACGGUACCUGCAGAAGAAGCACCGGCUAACUACGUG
rnacentral:rRNA from 1 species